rnacentral:rRNA from 1 species
GAUGAACGCUGGCGGCGUGCCUAAUACAUGCAAGUCGAGCGAACAGACAAGGAGCUUGCUCCUUUGACGUUAGCGGCGGACGGGUGAGUAACACGUGGGUAACCUACCUAUAAGACUGGGAUAACUUCGGGAAACCGGAGCUAAUACCGGAUAAUAUUUCGAACCGCAUGGUUCGAUAGUGAAAGAUGGUUUUGCUAUCACUUAUAGAUGGACCCGCGCCGUAUUAGCUAGUUGGUAAGGUAACGGCUUACCAAGGCGACGAUACGUAGCCGACCUGAGAGGGUGAUCGGCCACACUGGAACUGAGACACGGUCCAGACUCCUACUGGAGGCAGCAGUAGGGAAUCUUCCGCAAUAGGCGAAAGCCUGACGGAGCAACGCCGCGCGAGUGAUGAAGGUCUUCUGAUCGUAAAACUCUGUUAUCAGGGAAGAACAUACAUGUAAGUAACUAUGCACGUCUUUGACGGUACCUAAUCAGAAAGCCCACGCGCUAACUACGUUGCCAGCAGCCGCGGUAAUACGUUAGUGGGCAGGCGUUUCCCGGAUUAUUGGCGUAAAAGCGCGCGUAGGCGGUUUUUUAGUCUGAUGUGAAAGCCCACGGCUCACCCUUGGAGGGUCAUUGGAAACUGGAAAACUUGAGUGCAGAAGAGGAAAGUGGAAUUCCAUGUGUAGCGGUGAAAUGCGCAGAGAUAUGGAGGAACACCAGUGGCGAAGGCGACUUUCUGGUCUGUAACUGACGCUGAUGUGCGAAAGCGUGGGGAUCAAACAGGAUUAGAUACCCUGGUAGUCCACGCCGUAAACGAUGAGUGCUAAGUGUUAGGGGGUUUCCGCCCCUUAGUGCUGCAGCUAACGCAUUAAGCACUCCGCCUGGGGAGUACGACCGCAAGGUUGAAACUCAAAGGAAUUGACGGGGACCCGCACAAGCGGUGGAGCAUGUGGUUUAAUUCGAAGCAACGCGAAGAACCUUACCAAAUCUUGACAUCCUUUGACAACUCUAGAGAUAGAGCCUUCCCCUUCGGGGGACAAAGUGACAGGUGGUGCAUGGUUGUCGUCAGCUCGUGUCGUGAGAUGUUGGGUUAAGUCCCGCAACGAGCGCAACCCUUAAGCUUAGUUGCCAUCAUUAAGUUGGGCACUCUAAGUUGACUGCCGGUGACAAACCGGAGGAAGGUGGGGAUGACGUCAAAUCAUCAUGCCCCUUAUGAUUUGGGCUACACACGUGCUACAAUGGACAAUACAAAGGGCAGCGAAACCGCGAGGUCAAGCAAAUCCCAUAAAGUUGUUCUCAGUUCGGAUUGUAGUCUGCAACUCGACUACAUGAAGCUGGAAUCGCUAGUAAUCGUAGAUUAGCAUGCUACGGUGAAUACGUUCCCGGGUCU